AAGAUGUACUUUUCUCAUGCGAUGCACAAAAUGCAGGCACUGCUAUGCCUGCUUCACUGCUGUGUCUCGCUGUUGAGCGACCAAGGCAACCUACUCAUUAACUGAACACCCGGAAAUUUGAUGUUGGUAACCAUCUCAACAGGUGAAUUAUUAAUAACAAAGGAAUGUGGCUGUGCCUGCCUGUGCGUGCGUGUGCAUGUGUAUGUGCGUGCGUGCAUUUAGCUUACUGACUUGCAAGAAUUUACCUAUAGCUAUCAGCACCAUAACACCAUAACUAUGGUGAAUAGUUGCCGACUUCUUGCAUUUCACCAAUGACUUCAGCAUCCAUCCAUCAAGAUUAAAUAUGUUAAUCUUUAAUUACCAUCUUGUGCUUUUGAUGACAUUUCUAUCUCGUUGCAGUAACACUCCAGGGCAGCUUCUUCUUAUUUUUUUUCAAUAUGUGCAAGAGUCUAAAACCAGCGAAAGCCUGUGGCAAUAGAUAAGAACUAGAAGACAGUGGUGGUGAUAGAUGUAGUUGUGCCAAGUGACAGCAACAUCAGGAAGAAGAAGUAUGUGAAGCUUGAAGGAGGCUUGAAGAAGGAACUAGAGAGGAUGUGGAAAGGGAAAGCCAAAGUGGACCUGUGUUGGUAGAAGCACUGAGGGUUGUGACUCCUAAGUUAGAGAGUGUUUCUAACAGAUAUUCUGCGCAGAAAAGUACAGUGCUAACACCAGCUAAAAUACUGCAUAGAAUACUCCCAGACCUCUGGUAGAGGAUCCAAGAUUGAGGUGGAUGCCUGGAAUCCUAUGAAACAUUAUUGUGAAAGAUAAUCUUUGGGUUUAAGAUAAAAAAAGGUCUUCCACGGAGGGACAAACGUUCUAGAAACAUUGGAAGGACUAUAAUAUUUACAGUGCCUCCACAACACCCCAUUCAGCCAUCCCAGUUCCCGCCCUCAAGGAAAUCCAACCCUGAUGGAACACAGUGCUGGUGUUGUCCUAGGAAUUUCUACAGAAAUCUAUCAUAGAGGGGAAAGAUGGAACUAAAUUAAUCACACUCUCAAAUAGCUGAACGCUAAUGUAAAUGAUAUUUUAUCGAGGUUGAGUAAGUGGCUGAAGAUGAUAAAAAUAUUGUACAGAAACCAAAGCUCUCCAUCUGUAGAUAUUCAUUAAAUUGACCAUUAAUAAUUUGUGGUAAAGAGGAAUAGAAUUGCAUUCAUAAAUUUUCUAUGUAGAUUUUAUUAAGCUGGCACAUUAUAUGAAUUGAUUCCAUGACAUAGUUUGGAUUGUAGCUUUAAAGAUAAUACUUCUUUAUGAGCCUUUCUAUAGAAUUCUAUUAUUAUACUAUUGCAGUCUCUUUUUAUCUUUUUUAAUACCAGUGUGCAAUUAGGAAAUAUAAUUAUGGACUUGUAUUAGUGAUCUUAUAAUAUUGUGUCAGUAUUUUCACUACAAACUCUGUUGCUAAGAUUUAUAAAUUGAGCAUUAAAAUAUACUCAGUCUUGA